CCAUCCGCCAAAACAGACAUAGUAGUCUGGAGGUUUCUCCUGCUCUUGCGAAACAGACUUUUCUAGAAUCGCUCCAAAUUUCUCGCCGCCAGCCCCUCCCCUCUCUUUCCUGCGAGCGCUAGAUCUGAGUUCCGCCAGCAUCACAUCUCUAGCUAUCGGUUGUUGGGGAAGGAGAAUGGCACACGGCUAUCGACGGACGGAGUCGAAAGAAAUAGCAGACUUAGGACAAUCCAUUGGAGGUGGUGCUGGUGGCGCGUACACACGUCGUCGCGGACCCGAGGCCAGCCGGAAUCUGUACCAAAGGGUGUCGUGGAAGAGCCUGGUGUGCAGCGGCGGUCAUCGGGGUCGGGGAAGAUGACCGCGACAGGGAUAUCGUGGUAUCCAAGAGGCAAUAGCUAUGGGCGCUCCGGUUCAAUCUCGUUGGCCUGAACCACCUGCCGAGCGGGAGCAGCGCGGGCCCCCGGGAGAUGGAUAUCGAUCGAUGCAUGACAGGCGGCGGUCAGGAGCAGCGGAGGCACGACAGGCGGUUGUCUGGAGCAGUUGUGAGGCGUUGGCCAGGAGCAGUGAAGGCGUUAGCAGGCAGCGAACGGGAUCAGCGAUUAGGGAGAAAUGAGAGAAAAUUGAUUAAAGGCGCGUUCGCCAUCACGCAACCGUGCUUCCCGUCCUAAGCGACCUUGAAUGGCCCGUCGCGCGCACAGCCUCCAUUCCAGUGCGCCCGCUCCGGCCACCAUCCUGUAGUCGUGGUCUUCUACCUGUAAAAUAGAAAAUUAAUCAAUCAGCCGAGCUGCUACAGUGUAUCUUCCAUUCCCCAAGCUGUUGCGCAUGAGGACCUAUCCCAAUGGAUAGUGAGCGCGGCAGCAAGCGGACGAGCUCGCUGUGGCGGGCGCCGCGACGGGCGCUAGACCGCAAGCCUAUUUCUACAGGUCCUACAGGUUCAGUAUGUGACGGGCCAGCUGCUACAGGUUCUUCGCCCACAGCCCAUACGCGCCGCUUCGGAGAAGUGAGCAGCCGCGGAUGGAAUUUGGCAGUGCGUCGUCGGUCACACCAACGCCGCCAUGUGUUUGGCAGUUCCAAGGGGCAUUUCGGCACCUGCGUCUCCUAAUUGUCCCCUAAUGCCCUGAAUCAGUACGCAAUGGCAUAUUUCAAAGUAUAGAAACUUUGCAUUGGCAUGUCUCAAAAUAUGGAAGUAGUGAUGGCAUUUCGACCUAAAACUUUGUAGUGGCAUAUAUCAAAUUUACCCGUAAAUCUAAUAGGUUUCCCCCUCA